UCAAAUCACUGUUAGUCUUUUUAUUGAGGGUUGUACCCAAGUUAUACAGCUUUUGUGUUCCAACACUACAGUCAGAAGGUUUACAAACAGUUAUCAAUAUGUCUAGCGCUCGGUCGGCCGGCCGGUCGGCUCAGCCCAGGAGACCAACCAACCUAAUAAACAGCUUCAGUACACAUUCUCUUUAAUCGCACUAAAAUAACCACCAAAAAAAAAAAUCAAAUAAAACAUCAACCAAGAAGGAAAACAAAUGAAUAUAUAUCAUUAUUAUUAUGAAAUAAAAACAAUGACAACAGAACGACAGCAUCAUCGUGGUCGUCGUGGUGACGACGAUGGGAGGAGACAUGGGAUGACGGUGGGAGGAGCAGGCUGGAGUCUCUACCUUGGUUAAAUGUUACAUCAGGCCUCUGUGUUAACAAAAUAAGGAUUGUCCUUCAGAAAGUGCGGUUUUCCCCGAAGAAGACGAGAUAAUACGAAGACCCUGAGCCCCCCCCGCCCCCCUCCCCCGUCAGGAAGACACAACGCCAAAACACGGUCCCUGUAACUGACAAGUCUUUAUUAUUAGUCAUAUUAUAGACAUGGGGUUUCUCUCUGUACAUCGUAUCAAUCAGCCUCCCAAAGCAAUGUGCAUAUUAGGUUUACAGGUCAGGCCAAUAUUCUACUCUGCAUCUCAAGGUGUGAGGCUUCUAGCUGAUACAAUUCUCAGUGAUAGAACGUCUCUAUAGAAGUAAAGGAGAGAAUUCUAGAAUUCUCAGUGAUAGAACGUCUCUAUAGAAGUAAAGGAGAGAAUUCUCACUGAUAGAAUUCUAGAACUCUCAGUGAUAGAACUCUAGAACGCUCAGCGAUAGAACGUCUCUAUAGAAGUAAAGGAGAGACUUCUAGCUGAUAGAACUCUAGAACUCUCAGUGAUAGAACUCUAGAACGCUCAGCGAUAGAACGUCUCUAUAGAAGUAAAGGAGAGACUUCUAGCUGAUAGAACUCUAGAACUCUCAGUGAUAGAACUCUAGAACGCUCAGCGAUAGAACGUCUCUAUAGAAGCAGCAGUAAAUCUAACCUCCUGCCUAUAGCUGUCCCCUGUGGCUGGUUGGUUGGCUAGUAGGUAGAAAAGGUGAUGGCACACAUGUUUUUUAGGAAUACCGUGACCCCCUGGCUGCGCUGUGGCACCGUAGUUCCUACGGAGGGCAAUCACUGUCUAUGAGUCCCUGGUCAUCAGUAGUGCAGUAACAUAGGAGACAGGUCUGGAACACUGCCCAGGUCUCCACUGUGGACUGGCCUUUAGAUAUAAACAAACCAACCCCGAAUGAUCAUGGAAGGCUGGAUAACACUAUUGCAUAGUCUCUUUUAGCACCCUAUCCCCCAUUACCCUCCCCCAAUCCUCCCCCAUUACCCUCC
ensembl:lncRNA